GACGAACGCUGGCGGCGUGCUUAACACAUGCAAGUCGAACGGAAAGGCCCUGCUUUUGUGGGGUGCUCGAGUGGCGAACGGGUGAGUAACACGUGAGUAACCUGCCCUUGACUUUGGGAUAACUUCAUGAAACUUGGGCUAAUACCGGAUAGGAGCUCCUGCUGCAUGGUGGGGGUUGGAAAGUUUCGGCGGUUGGGGAUGGACUCGCGGCUUAUCAGCUUGUUGGUGGGGUAGUGGCUUACCAAGGCUUUGACGGGUAGCCGGCCUGAGAGGGUGACCGGCCAAAUUGGGACUGAGAUAAGGCACAGACUCAUACGGGAGGCAGAAGUGGGGAAGAGUGCACAAGGGGAGGAAGCAUGAUGCAGCAAAGCAGCGUGGGGGAUGACGGCCUUCGGGUUGUAAACCGAUUUCGCCUGUGACGAAGCGUGAGUGACGGUAAUGGGUAAAGAAGCACCGGCUAACUACGUG
rnacentral:rRNA from 1 species